GACACUAUGGCGGAGUGGUUAACGCGGUGCCCUGCUAUGUGGUGUUCGACCAUAAGCGAAGGCAUUUCCUUCGGGAGCGCAGGUUCGAAUCCUGCUGGUGUCG
rfam:Paracoccidioides brasiliensis Pb18 unplaced genomic scaffold supercont2.1, whole genome shotgun sequence.